AAAAACAUGUCUUUUUGUUUUUGAUUUAAGGUCUGACCUGCCCAAUGAUUAUUAUUUAAUGGCUGCAGUAUUUUAACUGUACAAAGGUAGCAUAAUCAUUAGUUUCUUAAUUAGAAGCUGGAAUGAAUGGUUUGAUGAAAAAUUUACUGUCUCAAUUUAAUUGUUUUAUAAUUUUAUUUUUAAGUGAAAAAGCUUAGAUUUUUUAAGAAGACGAGAAGACCCUAUAGAGUUUUACAUGUUUAAUGUUAUUUUUUGAUGAUUUUAUUAAAUUUAAUUUUUUGAUAUGUUUUGUUGGGGUGAUGGGAAAAUUUUUUUAACUUUUCUUUAUUUAUACACUAAUUAGUGACUUAAUGAUCCUUUUAAGAUUAUAAGAUUAAAUUACCUUAGGGAUAACAGCGUAAUUUUUUUUGAAAGUUCUUAUUGAUAAAAAAGUUUGCGACCUCGAUGUUGGAUUAAAGUUUAUUUUCGGUGUAGAAGCUGUUAGAUUAGGUCUGUUCGACC
rnacentral:rRNA from 1 species